CGUAUGGAAGGGAACCCGGUGAACUGAAACAUCUAAGUAGCCGGAGGAAGAGAAAGAAACAUCGAUUUCCAGAGUAGCGGCGAGCGAAAUGGAAAGAGGCCAAACCGUUGUGCGUGCACAGCGGGGUUCGGACCGCAUAAUUGAUUCAGUGAUUCUAGCAGAAAGGUUUUGGGAAAGCCUGCCGGAGAGGGUGAAAGCCCCGUAAGCGAAAGGAAAACUGACAAGGCGGUAUCCAGAGUACAUCGAGACACGUGAAACCUUGAUGGAACACGCGGGGACCACCCCGUAAGCCUAAAUACUACUUAGUGACCGAUAGCGCAUAGUACUGUGAAGGAAAGGUGAAAAGGACCCCGGGAGGGGAGUGAAAGAGAACCUGAAACCCUGUGUUUACAAUCUGUGGAAGGUCUUUAUAUGACCAACCGCGUACUUUUUGUAGAACGGUCCGGCGAGUUACGCGUACUGGCAAGGUUAAGUGCUUAAGGCACGGAGCCGAAGCGACAGCGAGUCUUAACUGGGCGAUGAGUCAGUACGAGUAGACCCGAAACCGGGUGAUCUAUCCAUGUCCAGGAUGAAGAUGCCGUAAAAGGCAUUGGAGGUCCGAAGCCACAUCCGUUGAAAAGGGUGGGCAUGAGGUGUGGAUAGGGGAGAAAUUCCAAUCGAACCCGGAGAUAGCUGGUUCUCCUCGAAAUAGCUUUAGGGCUAGCCUCGUUUUAGUCUUAUGGAGGUAGAGCACUGAAUUUCCGCGGGGGCGUCAAAGCUUACCAAAGAAUAUCAAACUCCGAAUGCCAUGUAGAUGAUGAACGGGAGUCAGACUGCACGAGAUAAGUUGGGCGGUCAAAAGGGAAAGAGCCCAGACCACCGGCUAAGGUCCCAAAGUGUGUGUUAAGUGGAAAAGGAUGUGGGAAUUCGAAGACAACUAGGAUGUUGGCUCAGAAGCAGCCAUACAUUCAAAGAGUGCGUAACAGCUCACUAGUCGAGAGUCCCUGCGCCGAAAAUGUCCGGGGCUGAAACACAACACCGAAGCCGUGGACUCCGUAAGGAGUGGUAGAGGAGCAUUCUUAAAACCGACGAAGCUGUACCGGUAAGGAGCAGUGGAGGGAUAAGAAGAGAGAAUGCCGGAAUGAGUAGCGAGAGGAAGGUGGGAAUCCUUCCGGCCGAAUAUCUAAGGUUUCCAGAGUAAAGCUGAUCUGCUCUGGGUAAGUCGGGGCCUAAGGAGAGGUCGCAAGACGUAUCCGAUGGACAACAGGUUUAGAUUCCUGUACCGCAUAUAAACAGAACUGUGGGGACGCAUGUGGAAAGCAUAAGCCGGGAAUGGAAAGACCGGUACAAGCGGGGUAGGUGUGUGACAGGCAAAUCCGUCACAUAAGCCAAAGACGUGAUGUGGAGCGAAAUUUAGUAGUGAAGUAUGUGAGCCAUGUGCCGAGAAAAGCCGCUAUUGUUUUAUAUGUGCCCGUACCGUAAACCGACACAGGUGGAUGAGGAGAGAAUCCUAAGGCCGACGGAAGAAGCAUUGUUAAGGAAUUCGGCAAAAUGACCCCGUAACUUCGGGAGAAGGGGUGCCUGCGAGAGCAGGCCGCAGAGAAUAGGCUCAAGCAACUGUUUAGCAAAAACACAGGUCUAUGCGAAACCGAAAGGUGAAGUAUAUGGGCUGACGCCUGCCCGGUGCUGGAAGGUUAAGAGGAGAGGUUAGCGCAAGCGAAGCUUUGAAUUUAAGCCCCAGUAAACGGCGGCCGUAACUAUAACGGUCCUAAGGUAGCGAAAUUCCUUGUCGGGUAAGUUCCGACCCGCACGAAAGGCGUAAUGAUUUGAGCACUGUCUCGACAAUGCAUCCGGUGAAAUUGAAGUACCAGUGAAGAUGCUGGUUACCCGCGCCAGGACGGAAAGACCCCAUGGAGCUUUACUCCAGUUUGAUACUGGGAUUCGGUACUGCACGUACAGGAUAGGUGGGAGACUGAGAACUAUGGACGCCAGUCUGUAGGGAGUCGCUGUUGGGAUACCACCCCUGUAGUACUGGGUUUCUAACCAUCUGCCGUGAUCCGGCAGUGGGACAAUGUCAGGCGGGGAGUUUGACUGGGGCGGUCGCCUCCGAAAGGGUAUCGGAGGCGCUCAAAGGUUCCCUCAGAAUGGUCGGAAACCAUUUGAAGAGUGCAAAGGCAGAAGGGAGCUUGACUGCGACACCGACGGGUGGAGCAGGU
rnacentral:rRNA from 1 species